rnacentral:rRNA from 1 species
AGCGAACGCUGGCGGCAGGCUUAACACAUGCAAGUCGAGCGGGCGUAGCAAUACGUCAGCGGCAGACGGGUGAGUAACGCGUGGGAACAUACCUUUUGGUUCGGAACAACACAGGGAAACUUGUGCUAAUACCGGAUAAGCCCUUACGGGGAAAGAUUUAUCGCCGAAAGAUUGGCCCGCGUCUGAUUAGCUAGUUGGUGAGGUAAUGGCUCACCAAGGCGACGAUCAGUAGCUGGUCUGAGAGGAUGAUCAGCCACAUUGGGACUGAGACACGGCCCAAACUCCUACGGGAGGCAGCAGUGGGGAAUAUUGGACAAUGGGCGCAAGCCUGAUCCAGCCAUGCCGCGUGAGUGAUGAAGGCCCUAGGGUUGUAAAGCUCUUUUGUGCGGGAAGAUAAUGACGGUACCGCAAGAAUAAGCCCCGGCUAACUUCGUGCCAGCAGCCGCGGUAAGUCUCGCGUGA